UUUACUUGGUUAACUUACAAAGCAAUAAUUUAAGAUUCUGUCAGAACGUUUAUAUUGUACAAUAUUAAUAGAAAUCUUGUCCUUUGAAUAAUAUUUUAACAUUCUUAGAAAGGAUGCAUAAAAGAAAAAAGAAUUGAUGUGCAAGACAAAUCAUUUCACAUUUUGGAAAAAAAAAACCUUUAAAAGGAAUACAGAAAAAUGUAUGCUAGUCUUCUUAAUAGCCUUGAGAAAUUCUGCGUAUACUAAACGCAGUGGGCGAUAAAAUAAAAAUCUUGGAAAUGCAAAAUUGAAAUUUAAGAAAGGGAAUUUAUUGGAAAAUGACUUCGUAUCUGUUUUCGUUCGAAUGAUUUACGAUUUAACGUCUUUAAGAAAAUUCAAGAUCAGAUGUGAUUUAGUUUUAUUUAAAAACUAGCCUUCGCCUGCGACUCUGUCCGCGUGGAAUUCAACAAACCAAAGGUCUAGAAAAAGAUUGCGUGUAAGGUGACAUGAUCAAGAAGUGACUACGAUGAGAGAAGAUAGAUUAAACUGGAGGACAAAAGCCUUUCGCCGAUUCAACAGGAGUCAGAUAAAGAGUUAAUCAUCAACUCUUUUAGACCCGUCAUUUAAAGUGGUCACGUGGAACAUUGUAUGUACAGUCGGGGAAACUCACGGUGUUCCACUUUAAAAGCUAUCGUUUGAACUUGCAAUAAGAUGCGGAACAAAAACCAAUACAACACAGCUUAUAAAUGAAGAGGCGGAGUUUGUCUGGUUGCAAUGUACAACACAUUUUUUCUUGAAAUGGACCAUCGCGUAUUUCCCUGACU